rnacentral:lncRNA from 1 species
GACGGACCGGGUCCGUAGGGAACCCUAUUGGGAUUGUGGUCUCCCAUACCGGACGGGGUAUGGAGAUCUUAUGUGUUUUGGCGCCCAUACCGGACGGGGUAUGGGGACAGCCCGUUUCACCCUCAUACCGGACGGGGUAAUAAGGUUUAUAGGUUUGGCGCCCAUACCGGAUGGGGUAUGGGGACGGCCCUAGAAUCUGUUUUUCAAGUGUUAAGGGUUAACGGGUAGCGGGACCCCUAUGGAUCCCCAUGGAUACUAGUAGGCUGGUAAAUGAGGAAAAUAUGUUGUGUAAUGAUUGAAUUACAAAAGGGGUGAUAAGUAUUAUGUUAUACAGUU